UACGUAGGGGGCAAGCGUUGUCCGGAUUUAUUGGGCGUAAAGAGCGUGUAGGCGGUCCGGUAAGUCCGCUGUGAAAGUCGGGGGCUCAACCCUCGAAUGCCGGUGGAUACUGUCGGGCUAGAGUGCGGAAGAGGCGAGUGGAAUUCCUGGUGUAGCGGUGAAAUGCGCAGAUAUCAGGAGGAACACCUAUUGCGAAGGCAGCUCGCUGGGACGUAACCGACGCUGAGACGCCAAAGCGUGGGGAGCAAACAGG
rnacentral:rRNA from 1 species